rnacentral:misc_RNA from 1 species
AACGCACCUUGCGCUCCUUGGUAUUCCGAGGAGCAUGCCUGUUUGAGUGUCAGUAAAUUCUCAACCCCUUCAGCUUUUUUGUUGAAGGUGGCUUGGAUGUGGAGGUCUUGCGGGCCCAGUAUUGGGUCAGCUCCUCUAAAAUGCAUUAGCGGAACCGUUUGCGAUCCGUCACAGGUGUGAUAAUUAUCUACGCCAGUGGGUUGCUCUCUUGAGUUCAGCUGCCAACCGUCCUGCAAAGGACAAGCUAUUACUGAACCUUUGACCUCAAAUCAGGUAGGACUACCCGCUGAACUUAA